rnacentral:rRNA from 1 species
AUUGAACGCUGGCGGCAUGCUUUACACAUGCAAGUCGAACGGUAACAGGCCGCAAGGUGCUGACGAGUGGCGAACGGGUGAGUAAUGCAUCGGAGCGUGCCCAGUCGUGGGGGAUAACGCAGCGAAAGCUGUGCUAAUACCGCAUACGAUCUAUGGAUGAAAGCGGGGGACCGUAAGGCCUCGCGCGAUUGGAGCGGCCGAUGUCAGAUUAGGUAGUUGGUGGGGUAAAGGCCUACCAAGCCGACGAUCUGUAGCUGGUCUGAGAGGACGACCAGCCAAACUGGGACUGAGACACGGCCCAGACUCCUACGGGAGGCAGCAGUGGGGAAUUUUGGACAAUGGGCGAAAGCCUGAUCCAGCAAUGCCGCGUGCAGGAAGAAGGCCUUCGGGUUGUAAACUGCUUUUGUACGGAACGAAACGGUCUGGGUUAAUACCCUGGGCUAAUGACGGUACCGUAAGAAUAAGCACCGGCUAACUACGUGCCAGCCGCCGCCGUAAUAC